rnacentral:rRNA from 1 species
CUACAGAGGGUGCGAGCGUUAAUCGGAAUUACUGGGCGUAAAGCGCGCGUAGGCGGCUUAUUAAGUCAGAUGUGAAAUCCCCGGGCCCAACCUGGGAACUGCAUCUGAUACUGGUAAGCUAGAGUUUUGGAGAGGGAAGUAGAAUUUCAGGUGUAGCGGUGAAAUGCAUAGAGAUCUGAAGGAAUACCAGUGGCGAAGGCGACUUCCUGGCCAAAAACUGACGCUGAGGUGCGAAAGCGUGGGUAGCAAACGGGAUUAGAAACCCUAGUAGUCC